UAUAUUAUAAAAAUUUAGAUAAUUCCUUCCUUCAGCAAUCCCGUGCCUGUUUUACUUGUAUGGUCUUAAUUGAUGAUAAAAUAUGAGGUACAUUUUGUAAUGGUUAUUAAAACAUUAUAUUUAUACACAUCUUUUUUUUCUCUUUCAGAUAUGUUAUUUUGAAACCAUCUGUAAAGGCUAUCUAUGCUCUUUUACUUCAGCACCAUCUUGGAAUUGACGAUGAUCUAUUGUAAAUUAAAAGGAAACAGUGUUUUGAAAUCCUCUCAGCGGUUACAAACGCCAUCUUGGCUGCUCCCUUCAGACUGUUUAAAGAAACUAGCUGACUAGAAAAAGCUGAAAAAUUUGGUGAAGCUCUUGCCACCGCCAACGACCGGGAAGGCAGGAAGACUAAGUUCGCCUCAACUGACACAGUUUUGUUUUAGAAACAAUUGAUUGUAUUAAAGAAUACUAUAAAUUAUAGAAAUUAG